rnacentral:rRNA from 1 species
GACAGAGGAGCCAAGCGUUGUCCGGAUUGACUGGGCGUAAAGCGCACGCAGGUGGUGGCGCAAGUGCCGUGUGAAAGCCGGCGGCUUAACUGCCGGAGGCCAUAGCAGACUGCGUCACUCGAGCCCGAGAGAGGUCCGUGGAAUUGCCGGUGUAGUGGUGAAAUGCGUAGAGAUGUGGAGGAACACCGAUGGCGAAGGCAGCCUUCUGGGCCAACACUGACGCUCAUGCACGAAAGCGUGGGGAGCAAACAGG